rnacentral:rRNA from 1 species
AUCAGGGGUAAACCUGUGGAACUCGAACGAACGAACGGGGAGAUUCAUCGUAUUUCCGUUUACGGAUCCGCGAUGCGAUCGCUGAUCGCGGUUGYUGCGUCGUCUCGUGCGGCGUUCACGAUCGUGACGGUCGCGUCGUGGUAUGGUCCGCGGAAUGCGUGCACUUCUCCCUUAGUAAAACACCGCGACCCGUUCGUGUGUUUGCGCGAUCGAACGCGUCGUGCGGUUGUCCCGUUUCGAACGUCAAAAAUUCGGGGCGGAGCCGCGACGUCGCGAUCGCGGACGGACGGUAAAAAACGAGGUUCGCCUUCGCCGUUCUCGUAACGGCGUCCGUAUUUCGAACCGAUACGGUCCCGUGCGGACCUCGACGUUUCGCGCGUCGUGGGAUUCGCUCGCGGUUUGCCGGAUCGUCGUUGUCGGAAUGUCUCGGACGGAAGGCGUCCCGGUCGGCGGUGGUUUUGUUUCGGGCACUCACAGGACCCGUCUUGAAAC